rnacentral:tRNA from 1 species
UGGCUCAGUGGGUAGAGCAUGGUGUUUGCAACGCCAGGGUUGUGGGUUUGAUUCCCAC